rnacentral:tRNA from 1 species
UUAAAGAUAGGUUAAAUAAUAAAACCAAAGAUUUGUGGAAUCUUAAAUUCAUACGAUCUUUAAA